rnacentral:rRNA from 1 species
UAAGGAUCAGCUAACUCCGUGCCAGCAGCCGCGGUAAUACGGAGGAUCCAAGCGUUAUCCGGGAUUUAUUGGGUUUAAAGGGUGCGCAGGCGGAUCAAUAAGUCAGGGGUGAAAAAUUUCAGCUUAACUGGAAUCGUGCCUUUGAUACUGUUGGACUAGAGUAUAAUUGACGUGACUGGAAUGUGAUGUGUAGCGGUGAAAUGCUUAGAUAUGUCACAGAACGCCAAUCGUGAAGACAGGUCACGAAAUUAUUACUGACGCUCAUGCACGAAAGCGUGGGGAUCAAACAGGAUUAGAUACCCUGGUAGUCCACGCUGUAAACGAUGAUUACUCGUUGUUGGGCAGUGAUGCUCGGUGGCUAAGCGAAAGCGAUAAGUAAUCCACCUGGGGAGUACGAUCGCAAGGUUGAAACUCAAAGGAAUUGACGGGGGCCCGCACAAGCGGAGGAGCAUGUGGUUUAAUUCGAUGAUACGCGAGGAACCUUACCCGGGCUUGAACGUAAGACGAAUAUAUAAGAGAUUAUAUAGCCUUCGGGCGUCUUGCGAGGUGCUGCAUGGUUGUCGUCAGCUCGUGCCGUGAGGUGUUAGGUUAAGUCCUGCAACGAGCGCAACCCUUACACUUAGUUGCCAGCACGUUAUGGUGGGAACUCUAAGUGAACUGCCUACGCAAGUAGAGAGGAAGGUGGGGAUGACGUCAAAUCAGCACGGCCCUUAUGUCCGGGGCUACACACGUGCUACAAUGGUAUGUACAGAGGGCAGCCACCUGGUGACAGGGAGCUAAUCCUCAAAGCAUAUCUCAGUUCGGAUUGGAGUCUGUAACUCGACUCUAUGAAGUUGGAUUCGCUAGUAAUCGCGCAUCAGCCAUGGCGCGGUGAAUACGUUCCCGGGCCUUGUACACACCGCCCGUCAAGCCAUGGAAGCCUGUGGUACCUAAAGUCCGUGCCCGCAAGGAGCGGCCUAGGGUAAAACCGGUAACUGGGGCUAAGUCGUAACAAGGUA